GUGCUCACUUUAGCAGCACAUAUAAUGUAAUUAGAAUGAUACAGGGAUUAGCAUGGCACGUGUGAAAGAAUAACAUGCAAAUUUGUGAAUUGUUCCAUAUUUUU
ensembl:snRNA U6 U6 spliceosomal RNA